GGCUGGUGUCAUCAGAUUUCCGCCUUCUGCUGCCCCAGAAGCCUGCUCAGUCAAGGUUGAUCACAGUUCUAACUGACCAUGAUUGAGGCCACGGCCCCUUCUGGGAUCAGGUGACCCAGGUUCUAGUGCACUUUGUCAUUUGGUGACGGCGUCUCUGAAGUGGAAGAGGCCCUCCUGGGCCUGAGCCACCUACACAGUCUGCUCUGUGUGGUCUCAGCGUGGCUGGCUUCCUUGAUCAGGCACCCUAAGACACCACGAGCCCCUCCUGCCCCCUCAGUCACUCUGGAGAGGGUCUCUGACCAGGAGGAAGGUAGGAGGGUGGCUCAGACCCACUAGGAACAGGGAGGCUGUGAGCCGUGAGCGUCGUCGGCCCAGGGCUGGAAUUGGGAUGCACUCUGCUCGUCUUUGGGUUUCCUUCCCUUCCUUUGAGCACAGAAGUAAACAAACAAAAAACAGCUCAGAGUGUGUGUUAAAGACACACGUCCCGGGCUCCCCCCCACCCUGCCUCGCCUGCCACAGGUGGAAUUGCAAGACCUAGAAGAGGGCUGAGAAGUGCGACCAGCAGGUGUUGGUCUGAUGCAGGCCACCCUCACACGGGCUUUCUCCCCACCGUCCAUCCUCAACUUUCUGGUUGAGCUUUCACUUAGUAAUCUCUCCUGCCUGAGUGAUGGCUGAGGCAGGGACUACAGGUUGCCAAGGCAACUUCCAUUCUCUCUUGCUUGCUACUAACAGAACCCUAGUGUUACUGGGGACAAUUGGCUAGACAAAAUACGCUUCCUGCCCGCACAGGGGUAGGUGGUUAUGGCGUUUAAGUGGCUGGCGUUGGGAAGCACUUGCAGGAAGGACACUUAAAAGGGGGAUUCAGCUGGCAGUACCUUCAUCUUUACCCUUCCUCCUUCCUGGAACUUAGAUGUGAUGGCUGGAGCCCAGGCAGCUAUCUUGAGAGCAUGCAGGCAACAUUCAUCCCCUGAGGAUGGAGAGCAGAAAGCUAGAAGGAGGCUGGGUCUUUGCUGACAUACCAGCCCUGGACUACUUAUGUUCAGCAUUUUUUUAAUGAGGAAAUGAAACCCCUGUCUUGUUGAAGCCACUGCUGUUUGGGUUUUCUGCAGAUGGAGCCAGAGCAACCCAUAAUGGUUUUACACUCGAGGUUCUUCACGUGCAUCGUCAGACAGCCAAGAGGAUCCCGCGUGUCUUGGCUUUCUCUGGGUAUAGCUGAGAAAGUGUGGGUCAGAGCCCUGGACACCCACAUGGGCUGCUUGGGCCUGAAAUCCACAGGAAAGGAGGGACUCAAGGGCCCACUCUCCUCGCAGUGGCCACGCAGAAGGGAUUAAGAAGAUACAUCUGAAAAGGGACCAGUUCUUUGGGAUAGAAGCCUGUCUGCAGGUCCUUCCACAAAAGCAAGAUGCACAAUGAAUGCAUCAAGACCAAUGCACAGCCUCGCCAAGGAGGAGACUGGCACAAGGUACGGCGCGGCAGGAGCUGGUGCUUCAUAAAGUUCAGCUCCAGGAACUACGCCUGGGAGGCCUCCCUCUCCUGCAGCCCCCAACUGCACAUGAUCCAGGCCUGGCUCGGCCCUGAGCCACCCAGCAGCCUUGGCAAGGUCCCUGCCACUCAGCCCCUCCUACCCACAUUCUCCAGGGGCCAGUGGUGGUGCGUGUGUGCGCGCGCGCACGUGCACGUGUGCACAUGAAAACAGAAAUCUAUUCUCUCACGUUUCUGGAGGCCAGAGUCAGAAAUCAAGGUGAUGGCAGGGCCGGUUCGUUCUGCAGGCUCUGAGGGAGGGUCUUUUCAGCCUCCCCAGCUUCUGACGGCUGCCAGCGACUGCUGGAGUUCCUUGGCUUACGGACGCAUCACCGCAACCUCUGCCUCUGUCUCCACGUCACGUUCUCCGUGUGCCGGUGUGUCUCGUACCCAGUGUGUGUCACUGGGUUUAGGGCCACCCAGGUGAUCCAGGGAGAUCUCCAGGUCAUUAGCUUAAUCACAUGUGCAAAACCCCCUUUUCCAAAUAAGAUCACAUCCACAGGUACUGGAGAUUAGGAUGUGGACAUAUUUUGGGGGGGAUUUCGUUCACCCCACCACAAGGGCCAGUGCUGACCCCAGAUCACAAGUGGAGUGUGAACCUGGCCAGAUGGACACGCAGAUGGAGAGCACAGGCGCGCCCUCCCGAGAAAACACUGGUGCUGGAGAGGGGACACUGGGGACUGGGGACCGUCCACCUGUGGAUAGCUUAAGGACCUGAUAAUCAAAAAAGUACAAGGUGGGCUUCCCUGGUGGCGCAGUGGUUGAGAGUACGCCUGCCGAUGCAGGGGACACGGGUUCGUGCCCCGGUCCGGGAGGAUCCCACAUGCCGCGGAGCAGCUGGGCCCGUGAGCCAUGGCCACUGAGCCUGCGCGUCCGGAGCCUGUGCUCCGCAACGGGAGAGCCCACAACAGUGAGAGGCCUGCGUACCGCAAAAAUAAAUAAUAAAUAAAUAAAUAGUA